rnacentral:lncRNA from 1 species
GGCUGGCUUUGAUGGGGCUGGUGGUACCAGUGGGGCUGGUUCUGGUAGGGCUGGCUAUGGGGCUGGUUCCGGUAGGGCUGGCUAUGGGGCUGGUUCCGGUAGGGCUGGCAAUGGGGCUGGUGGUACCAGUAGGGCUGGUUCCGGUAGGGCUGGUUCAGGUAGGGCUGGUGGUACCAAUAGGGCUGGUUCUGGUGGUGCUCUCAAUGGGUCCAGUGGUACCGGUGGUACCGGUUCUGGUGGUGCCGUCAAUGAUGGGUCCGGUGGUACCGGUUCUGAUGGUACCGGUUCUGGUGGUACCAGUGUUGGUGGUUCUGGUAUUGCUGGUACCGGUGUCUGUAUGGUACCAAUGGGGGCUGUUGUGGUUCCGGUUCCGGUUCUGGUUCCGGUUCUGGUUCUGGUUCUGGUCCCGGUGUCGCUCUAUGAUGGAGCUGGGGGGUUCCCAGGGGGUGACACGGGGAUGGAGCUGAUGGAGCUGGAACUGGGGGGGGG